CGGAUUGGAGGCUGAAACCCGCCUCCAUGAAGUUGGAUUCGCUAGUAAUCGCGCAUCAGCCAUGGCGCGGUGAAUACGUUCCCGGGCCUUGUACACACCGCCCGUCAAGCCAUGGGAGCUGGGGGUGCCUGAAGUUCGUGACCGCAAGGAUCGACCUAGGGCAAAACCGGUGACUGGGGCUAAGUCGUAACAAGGUAAC
rnacentral:rRNA from 1 species